GACACGAGGGCACAAUCCGUAUGAAUCACCGGGAGCCAACAACCAUCAGACAUGUGGCAAUUACUGACGGGUCGAAAUCAAAUCGAAUCAAAUCAUUCCACCAUCUAGUCACCUGCAACAUUAAAUAAUUAUCUCCUCGAGGUGACACUCCAAUAAUGAUUGCACGACCUCCAAAAUGACGAUCAAUGAAGUGAUAAGGCGGAUGAUGGUUCAAUUUUCAAAGAAAUCAUGAAUACCGGUAGCCAAAGCAACCACAAAAUCUGGUGCCA
rnacentral:lncRNA from 1 species